CAGUUAGCACAUUCAGAGGUUAAACAUAAACCAGAAACCAACACUGACUAUCAUUAAGCAUUCCUGUGUCAAAUACCUUACUGAAGCAAAAUGAUAAAAGCUCAGCAACUCAUUCUUGGCAGACAAAACUGGACUAUAUAAGAACUCAUGAAAAUUAAAGAGGAGACACCCAGAGGACAAAAAUAGGGGUUGAAACCUGCUGAACAUUGGCUCACCAGUUCAACAAAACCAAAUGUGAUCCAGCUUAAGUGAGAUUCACUUCAUCUGAGGAAGUACAAAGAAGAAAACUUCAGAUACUGUCAUGUGAAGGAAAUCUCUUGGUCAUGCUACCUCCAGAAGGCCUUGGAAGGUCUUGGAUCUUUUAACUACAAAAGGUCCAUGAGGAAGACGCCUGACCAGAGAGUCUCUCAUGCAAGGAAAUCUUCUGAUGACGUAGAGCUUGAACAACACAAAUGGAAUGCUGAGGAAGCAUGCACCAUUUUGUAAGGAGCAGUCCCCUUGCACCAGUGGGAGUGGGAUAGAAAAACUUCACAGAGUCCAAGGCAGGAACUCCACACACCAGAAAAUUGCACAGCUGCUGAAUGAAUGUUUAAGAAGGCUUUAUACAAGGUCAUUGAACACGUGCGUAUUUUAGAUAGAGUGUAUACAGACUCAUCCUAUUUUAAUAAUUAUCUGUAUCUCUUAUUAAAAUGCUUGCUUUCUUAUUUCUGCAUUCUCAUGUCCUAUUUUAUAUUCAUGACAAUAUAAGGCCGUAAUUUUCUUCAAAUUCUCUGUCCGUAGUUUCUGGCAUUUGUGUCCUAUGGUGACAGGUUUAUACAUUCCUGCUUUAUAGGUGAAUCUUGCCAAGCUUUUCUUGACUUACUUUCCAUUUAUUCUUUCCACUGGCAUCUGAAAAAACUCUGAUGCACUAUCCUAUAAGUUACCUCUUACAUCACAGUUUUGAGAUGAGAAACAUUUCCUUGCCCUGUGUGUCCCCUAAAAUAUGAAUUAUUCGACUGCUAUACUUAAAAACAUUAUCUGUAUUUUUAGUUCACAGUGCAUUAAAUGCUGCCAUAACAUUGAUCAAUUGACUAUUGUGCUGUCCUCGAAACUGUACAGGAACCAGAUUUCAGCUACAGACAGAACUGCAACCUUGAGUAUGCUGCUUCUGUAUGAUAGCACAAAAGAAAACCAUUAUAAAGUAAAUCUCUGUGUAAAAUAAUAAA